rnacentral:rRNA from 1 species
UGAGGAACAUGACCUUCGGCGGGGGAUAGCCGGCCCAACGGCCGGGUAAUACCGCGUACGACCACUUUGGGACAUCCCUCGGUGGUGAAAGCAGCAAUGCGCCGAUGGAGUGCCUCGCGGCCUAUCAGCUAGUUGGUGAGGUAACGGCUCACCAAGGCGACGACGGGUAGCUGGUCUGAGAGGAUGGCCAGCCACAUUGGGAUUGAGACACGGCCCAGACUCCGUACGGGAGCAG